UGAGGAAUUUUCUGCAAUGGGCGAAAGCCUGACAGAGCAAUACCGCGUGAGGGAUGACGGCCUAUGGGUUGUAAACCUCUUUUCUCAAGGAGGAAGAUAUGACGUUACUUGAGGAAUAAGCAUCGGCUAACCCUGUGCCAGCAGCCGCGGUAAUACAGGGGAUGCAAGUGUUAUCCGGAAUCAUUGGGCGUAAAGCGUCUGCAGGUUGAUAGACAAGUCUUUUGUUAAAACUCAGGGCUUAACCCUGAAUCUGCAAAAGAAACUGUUUAUCUUGAGUAUGGUAGAGGUAAAGGGAAUUUCCAGUGGAGCGGUGAAAUGCGUAGAGAUUGGAAAGAACACCAACAGCGAAGGCACUUUACUGGGCCAUUACUGACACUCAGAGACGAAAGCUAGGGGAGCAAACAGG
rnacentral:rRNA from 1 species